rnacentral:lncRNA from 1 species
GCCAAGUCAAUUACCUUUCAGACACUAAUCACCCAACAAGAAUAGUUUGCAGCAUUUAGAAAUGCGGUGAGUAUAUGAUGACACAGAAAUAUAGAAUUCAAUCGUCUUUCUUGCACAUUAGAUUAGGGCCAUAUUAGAGACAACUGUGUGGAAUUAUAAUCUAUAAGCCUAUUAGAAUGAUCUCAAGUCUCUGUUAAAUUUAGUCUUAAGAAAACCAUGCAGACAUUGAUGUAGGGAGAUUAAUAAAUCUGUGAAUAACAAGAAGGGAUGGGGGAGGGAAGAGAAGAAGAAUACAGAGGAGGGGAAGAAGAGAGGGAAAACGGCUGCAAAACCAAUUCUUUAAUUCAUCAAAUUCAUCAUCUCAAAUAACAAUGUAAGAUAGGUUUAAAUACUGAAAAAUAAUGCAAACCUAGGGCUAAGCCCAAUACACAAGUCCAUAAAAUUAAAAUAACCUAAAUUCCAACUAAAAUAAUUAAAAUUGUUAAAAUUAAUUAAAAUUGGAUGUCCUCAUCAAUUCUCCCUGGGUGGGAGAGAAAACUCGACCCUGUCGAGUGGCUAUAUCAUGUCCUCAUCAGACAUGAUAAAAAACAUCACAGAAUAUUUUUCAUAUGAGCACCAUUAAGAUCAAUAGAAAUAAGAAUUACAAAGUCAAAUAAUUCAGAAUAACAAUGCAAGUUUCAAUGAAUUACAAAAUGCUUCACAUCCACCAGCACAUAAGUAUCAAAAAUGGGCCAGUGCCAGAAGUCCCGGAACUUCCAGCACUUGUAUAUCUAUACAUUUAGAAAUGUUAUUGGGCCUAUUAAUAUUGAAAUUCAUCUGACAAACCGAGAGCUACAACAGUAGACAGCAACACACUAUCACACAGCAGAGGCAUUCAACAUAAACAACUUCAUUAGUCAAGAUCCUCAACAUCAAAACAAUUUUUUCUUUCCAUCUUUAUAAUGAACAAGAAAAAAAUUGCAUAUCGAAAAUCAUAAAUACAUUAAGAAAUUCAUGACAGGGCAUAAAUCUUCACAUACUCCACAAUAGAGAAGAUAAAGUCGAAUAAUAAUAAGUUUUAACCAGAUAACUCGUGCACUAAUAGGGCUUCGAAAUAUUAUCAAACAAUGACCAUAAAUUGUUGUCAAAGGUGGUUUAAAAUUAUUUAAAACAGCAUUAUCUAAAAAUAGCUUAAAACAGAAGUUAGUUAAAUGCAAGUUUUACAUUUUGCAUAAGAGAAUAGGCCUGUUGAAAGCCUUACAGGCAAAACACAUUAAUUGAAUUCGAAUACAGGUUUAAUGCAAGUAUAUGUCUGAAAUCAGGACCUCUACACAUGCAUUAAUGCAAAACUAAUUUUUAUGGUUACAUGGUGUCUAAUAUAAUAAACAUUGCUCAAAAUAAAGCAUCAAAUCCAUUUGAAAUAGUUUCAAAGCAUAUUAAACAUCUUUGAUAAUACUUCUUUAAUUUGCGAUCCAUACAUCAUUUAGACAACGAUCCCAUGCUGUACUCCAAGCAUCAAGUGUCCAAUAAGUACUUUAUAAAUUUAAAGAUUUGGAGAAACAUGACAUGCAAAUAAUAGAAAGGUGUUGAUCGUCACAUUAUUGGCAUUUUUUAAUUCCAGUUGGACUUCUAGCAAAACAUUGAUGACCAAAUCAGGAAAAAAGAAAGAACAUGGAGAGAAAUAAAUAUCAGAAAGCGAUGCAAAUAAGAUGCAAAUUAGACAGUGAAGCAUAGGGAAGAUUGUCAAUGAAGCUCUCAUGGAUGGGGACAAAAAUAACUCAAGGAUUGAGAUCAACUUUUUCUCAUAUGGUUGUCAAUUUAGAGAUAAAUGUACUGACUCCCACAGAAUAUCCAUGAAUUUGGUGUAUACUGUUUCAUCCUCCUGAACUGAUUUUUGCAUCUUUUCAUUUUUUUUAUUUGUAGGUGAAUCACACCUAUACCUUUUUCAUUAGUUCUAAUUUUUCGUUAAAAACAUUGCAUGCCCUUCUGUUAUAUAGUCAAAACCACUAUGCACUAAGCUUAAGACAAUUGAACAUUUUAAUAACUUCUCAAGGAUUUUAAUUAGUGAAUGCCAAAAUUUUUAUUAGUCAUUUUCAUAACUUUUUCCCAGUUACUUUAAUCCAUCAAAUAACUUCUCUACUUUUGUCCUUCUCUCUUCACGUACUUGAAUCUUCAUAUGAAUUCUGCAUUUGCAUCAAGUUCAUCAGUCAAAAAGCUCUAAUUACAAAAUGGUCCAAUUGACGCAACCUUACAGUAAUAAUCUUAAGUUGCUGAGAACUUUAUUGUAAAUACUGAUUACUAAAACUAAAUUCAAAAAAGGGAAAGAAGGCUGAAGCUUGAAGUUUCAAGAAAAUAACAUAAAUCUGCUCAAGCUCUUUUAUUUAGCUAAGGAGUUCUAAUUUCAAGCCCCAACCAAGAAACAAAAACUAGAGAUAUUUUCAUAAAAUAUCAUUCACUAUCUCCCUAUUACAUUUCAACACUCAGGGCUCACUCCUGGCCCUUAUAAAACAAAAGUCAUCACUGAAAAAUAGAGGUCAACUAAGCUAGAAAACUGUAAAAAUUAAGCAAGCCAAUAUAAUAAAAUUAUAGCUGAAUAUUCAAGCAAAUUUAGCAUCUAAUUACAUAAUAUUAAAAUCUAAGUUCAAUAACAUGAGCUAAGCCCAAAUUUCCGUGUCAAUUUCAAAAGGUUAAGACUUGACAGGGAACUGAUCAUUUCUCUAGCUCUAGCAUUCAGUGGGAAAUUGCUUUCACACCCAUACGUAGGGAAACCUCACCACAACACUCAUUAUUGCACCAUUACUCUUCUUGAAGUCCUCCAUUAACUGGGCGCUUGAAAUUGAUUUGGUAUAAAUAGUGUCCAUAAAAGGAGGAAGACAUCCAGCUAGAAAGAUGUGAAUUAAUAAACGAAUUUUCACUUAUUUACCCACAUGUUACUUCAAUAUCUCUAAUUUUAUUCUUUUUCAAUAAUCAUCCCAUUGUUUACAGCUUAACUUGAUUUCUGGUGCAAUUAUUACUUGCUUGGCUGUCCAAAUAUGUUUGGGCUAACAAAUCGCUUGCUCAAACUCAAUUAACACAUGAAACCCCCACAUCUCAUUCCAAAUAAUAAUAUAAGAGACACAACUAGUAUAAUUACUUCCCCAAAUAAAAACCAAAUCUAUUUCUUCGUACACAAAAAAACCACAAAAUAAAAAGCAAAUACUUUUACUUCAAGUUAGUUAAUUAUUAACAGAGAACAACAAAUUUUUUGCUCCUUUCACUUGCAUGCCAGAUACAUAAUCCCAUAAAACAGAAAAUAGUUUUACUUCAAGUUAGUUAAUUAUUAACAGGGAACAACAAAUUUUUUACUCCUUUCACUUGCACGCCAGAUACAUAAUCCCAUAAAACAGAUUCUCCAAAAACGUUUAUUCAUUUCCGCAAUCCCAUCCUCCACAGGCAUGAAACAAUAAACAGAUUAUCCAUAAAUGAUUAUCCAUUCCCGCAAUCCCUCCUACCACAGGCAUGAGCAAUUACAAACAUAUAACCCAAAAAAUUAAAUAGCGCUUUCCCAAUCCAGAACAAACUCAUUCACUUAAUGUUCGUAUUUUGCUAGACUGACUUCUUUCCUCGUGAUUAGAACACUUACUGCAUCUCAUCAUAGUCAUGUAUCCUUUUUUUCUCCAUUUUUUUGGCUCAUUGGCACACGGAAUAAUAACGAUAGAGAUGCAAAAAUG